UUCUUGUCUCCCUUCUUAUGUGCUAACUUUGAUGCUAAUAUUAUUUUACUGCUGCAUUAGUGUCUUAUUUUAUCUUGAUUUCUUUGGACGCUUGCUUGGUUUGGUGGAUUUCUUCCUAUGUGUGGUCUCAGUUGUCAAGGAUACAUGGUUGGGUAUUUUAGAUUUGACUCAAGGGUGCAAGUGGCUCUAACGGAAUGAGUGUCAUGCUUUUGUGUCUGUUGGGAAAGAUGCAGAGCAUGAACAUUUUCUUUUUGUGUCUUGAAGCUUUCUCUAAACUGCUAGUCUUAUGGAAGUUCUCGAUUAAGGUACACGUAGUCUUUAUUUUCCGUGUGUAAAGUGUGCUCAGGUGUUACCCCAGAUGCUUAUUUUCUUCAACGAUCCAACCGAUGGGACCUCUUGGUUCUGGAGACCUGAUAAAUAUUCAAUUCUGCCACAUAAAGUUCUCCUCUACAUUGGUAUUCUCAUAGGCGGAUGUAGUGUUCUCAGGACGGGUUCAACUGAACCCAUAAUUCUCGACGCGGAAUAAAAAUUUGUAUGUAAAAAUUCAUUAAAAAUUGUAAAAAUAGUAGAUAUGAACCCAUAACUUUAAAAAUAUAAUGAGUAUCUUGGAUCUGCCUCUGAGUAUUCUCUCUAUUUAUCUUCUCGUUUCUUUUGUUUACCAUGUCAGCUUGAUUUUGUUUGUUUGAUGUAGGGGUAGACCACACAGUGACACCAUAACAGAGAACUAGAUUUGGAAAGGUUAGUGUCCAGUUAUGCACUACUGACUCUCUUGUUUCUUGGUCUUUUUGGUGCUCGCACUCUGAUGGGGAUCUUCAGCUUUGAGGAAAAUCGGGUUUUUUUUUGCAUCUCUAGUGAUUUCCUCUUUAUGGUAUAGGCUUUUCCAGCUUCUCACUUGACCGGGCCUUCAGUUGGUAGUGAUUUCAGAUUGUGGGAUAUUAUUUAAUCCUGAAUUACACUGUUAUUUAACACAAUACUUUUAUCUUCAUUAUCAAACUCUUGCCUCAUUGUGAGAAGUCAUGAUUGAUUUAAAUUCUCACAGCUUAGUAGAAGUCAUAGUUGAUUAUUGGAAUUGUUACCUUCUUGGCUCGUUGAAUUCGCUAUGAUCAUCUAAUCCUAACCACUUACUGUCUUAUUAAAGAUUAGCGAGGGACACAUUGCUUGAUAUAUAGAUAUCAAAUGAGCAAAAGUGUGCGUAAUUUAGAUUUCAGUGUUUCAAAAAUCCUUUCAAGUAUUUUACAUUGUAUUGUUCCGAUUUGAUUUCUAUUUCAAAUUGAUCGAUAUCAAGAUGUUUUGUUGCGUAUUUCUUCUUUUCUCUACCCAGAGUUGUGUUGAUUUAACAGUGGAUACCUGAAACCAUUGACAGCUAGAUCAUGCAAAUGUGGGUUGAAUUAGCAAUAUUUCUUUUCCGAUCUUAAUAUUUCAGAUGUAACUGGUUCGAUC
rnacentral:lncRNA from 1 species